AGUGAACGCUGGCGGUAGGCCUAACACAUGCAAGUCGAACGGCAGCACAGUAAGAGCUUGCUCUUACGGGUGGCGCGUGGCGGACGGGUGCGGAAUACAUCGGAAUCUACUUUUUCGUGGGGGAUAACGUAGGGAAACUUACGCUAAUACCGCAUACGACCUACGGGUGAAAGCAGGGGAUCUUCGGACCUUGCGCGAUUGAAUGGGCCGAUGUCGGAUUAGCUAGUUGGCGGGGUAAAGGCCCACCAAGGCGACGAUCCGUAGCUGGUCUGAGAGGAUGAUCAGCCACACUGGAACUGAGACACGGUCCAGACUCCUACGGGAGGCAGCAGUGGGGAAUAUUGGACAAUGGGCGCAAGCCUGAUCCAGCCAUACCGCGUGGGUGAAGAAGGCCUUCGGGUUGUAAAGCCCUUUUGUUGGGAAAGAAAAGCAGCAGGUUAAUACCCCGCUGUUCUGACGGUACCCAAAGAAUAAGCACCGGCUAACUUCGUG
rnacentral:rRNA from 1 species